UACAGGGGGUGCAAACGUUGCUCGGAAUCAUUGGGCGUAAAGCGCACGUAGGCGGUUCGUUAUGUCGGAUGUGAAAGCUCUUGGCUUAACCGAGGAAGUGCAUCCGAAACUGGCGAGCUAGAGUACGAAAGAGGAUCGCGGAAUUCCCGGUGUAGAGGUGAAAUUCGUAGAUAUCGGGAGGAACACCGGUGGCGAAGGCGGCGAUCUGGGUCGAUACUGACGCGUGAGGUGCGAAAGCGUGGGGAGCAAACAGG
rnacentral:rRNA from 1 species